rnacentral:rRNA from 1 species
UACCAGCACCCCGAGUGGUCGGGACGUUUAUUGGGCCUAAAGCAUCCGUAGCCGGUUCUCCAAGUCUUCCGUUAAAUCCAGCUGCUUAACAGAUGGGCUGCGGAAGAUACUAUGGAGCUAGGAGGCGGGAGAGGCAAGCGGUACUCGAUGGGUAGGGGUAAAAUCCGUUGAUCCAUUGAAGACCACCAGUGGCGAAGGCGGCUUGCCAGAACGCGCUCGACGGUGAGGGAUGAAAGCUGGGGGAGCAAACCGG